AAACUCCUCACACCUGAGAGAGCUGGAUCUGAGCUACAAUCACCCAGGACAAUCAGGAGUCCAGCUGCUCAGGCACAAACUGGAGGAUCCAAACUAUAAACUGCAGAUACUAAACGUGGAUCACGGAGAAGAGCUCAGGAUGAGAGCAGGACCACGAAAGUAUGCCUGUUUUCUCACACUGGAUCCAAACAAACACAGCAUAUACUAAACUCAGUCUGUCUGAGGAGAACAGAAAGG